CGUAGGGUGCAAGCGUUAAUCGGAAUUACUGGGCGUAAAGCGUGCGCAGGCGGUUAUGUAAGACAGAUGUGAAAUCCCCGGGCUCAACCUGGGAACUGCAUUUGUGACUGCAUAGCUAGAGUACGGUAGAGGGGGAUGGAAUUCCGCGUGUAGCAGUGAAAUGCGUAGAUAUGCGGAGGAACACCGAUGGCGAAGGCAAUCCCCUGGACCUGUACUGACGCUCAUGCACGAAAGCGUGGGGAGCAAACAGGAUUAGAUACCCUGGUAGUCCACGCCCUAAACGAUGUCAACUGGUUGUUGGGUCUUCACUGACUCAGUAACGAAGCUAACGCGUGAAGUUGACCGCCUGGGGAUACGGCCGCAAGGUUGA
rnacentral:rRNA from 1 species